UUGUUAAAUAAAUUAUAGUUUUUAACCAUCUGAAGAAAAAUUAUUUUACAACUUUAAGACUGUACACAGUUAGAAAGAUAAGCCCCAAAAAUUAGUGAUGAAAAGACUACCAGGGAUGAAAAGGCUGAUAGAGAGGGACAGAUGAGGAGUAGGGAGUAAAGGUAAAUGAGACCUGGGUGGUGGGAUGGGUGGGUGUGAGAGGAAUGUAGGGGGGUGGAGGUGUGUGUAAACAGGGUGUGCUUAGAUAUGAAAAUUAAAUUGUUAAGACAGAGUUCCCCAAAAAACUAAUUGUUGACCCUGAAAGUCCUUUAUUUCAUUAAGAAGUGAAUCAACUGUAAAUAGAGAAGUCAAUGGGAUUUAGGAAAAGAUUGGCUCAGGGUGGGCUGCAUUAGUUGGAAUAGACUACUGUGAGCAGGGUAGCUCCCUUAUCUAUGUGCCCCUCCCUUUUCAAAAAUGCAUGACAAUCAGCUCUUUCCACUCCUUAAAAUUUCAGUUCUUGCCAGCCUCAGCAACUUUGCAAGGCCUUAAGCAAUUCAGCAAGACCCUGUCACAGAACUUCUUGGGAUGUGACUCAGUGGUUAAGCCCCCUUGGUUUCAAUCCCCAGUAAAAAAAAAAAAAAAAAAAAAGUUUGGUUCUCAGAGGAAAAUUUUGCAUUAAUAACUAGGUUGUGCUGUUCUUGUGGGUAUUAAAUUACAUAACCUACUUGAGUUUUAAAAUUGUUCUCCCAUACCUAAUCUCAUCUGAUCUUUCCAAUCACUCUGUGGGAUUAGCAAGAUGGGUGUUAACCCUGAGGAUACUUGAAGAAGUUAAGAAAUCACCCAAAGCUAAAUGUUGGAUCAUAAAUCUUGAGACAGAACUGAAAAAGGCACAUUUCCUGGAAACACUACCAAUUCUCCUCCAACUGCUACUUUGAAAAGGUAAGAGUACAACUAUGCAAUGAAAAUAGCUGGAGUAUGGACACAGGGGUUUGGGGAAAGGGUGUUAAGUGAAGGGUAAGAUUCAAACUAUACUGCAGUUUUGUUCGUGGUGGAGGAGAACUGGACAGGGAGGAAAUGAAGACAGACAUGAAUGAGGUACACCUUUCAACUCGGCAAUGGGCUAAAGAAGGAGGCAAGCAUUUUCCCUCUUUU
rnacentral:lncRNA from 1 species